AUGGUCCAAACUUGGGAGAGUUCUCUGGACUUCUCUGAUAGAAGAACUGAGAGGAGGAGUAGAGAACUUUUGUCCGGCUCCCUGGAAAAUGAACAGAACUCCACUGGGAGAGUCCAAUGCAGCCAAGCAUUCUUAGCUUCAACCAAAUCUGCCAUCUCCAUUUGCCAAGCCUGGUAUCAAUGCUUUAGAGGUGAGAGUCCCCUAGUCCUUUAGUUAAAUAACACAUGGGACCAGAAUGGAGUGAAGAGUUUCUAAAUCUCAUGCUGCUCUAGUACUGAUGAUAACAAAGCUCUGGCUUACAGUUUUAUCAUGCAAGUACAAGCGAGCUUGCCAGUGUUUAUAUAAUUUCUCUACUUAAUGCCUUCAGUGGUUCCCCACUGCACGUGGAUAAAAUCCAACUUCUUUUAGAGUGGAUCCAGACCUUUCAUGAUCUAGCCUUCACACCCUUUUAAAGCCUCAUCUUUCACUAAUAUUCCCCACAUAAUCCUAUCCUUUAGCAUAACCAAAAAUUCUCAUGGUCCUGGAUUCCUAAACAUAUCAUAGUGUUCCACAUUUCUGCACCUUAAGAAGUCUUAUCUGUAAAUAUUGACUUGCUAUUGUUAUUAUUCUAAAAACUAGUGUGUGCUAUGGUUUCUUUUGAUGCUCUCCUCCCCUUAAAGAAUGAGAUCCAAAGCAAUCAACUCAGAAGAAUGUCAAAAGAUACCAAAAGUCAUAAGCUCUUCUCCCUCACUCCAUCUCAUCCAGUUGUCUUAUAACUUCUUUUUAAUGAAAACUAAUAUAAUUCUAUUUAUAAGAAAAACAGGUUGUUGUGAGAGGAUAUCAAUAUGAAGUUAGAUUCAGUGGGAAGUUUACCAGGUUGAACUGAUGGCAUACUCUAUUUCAGCGAAUGUUAUCUCAUAUGAUGAUGAUGGAAUUCUGCAAGACUGAUGGGCCACCAGAGUACAUAAGUGAAAGUCGUCAAGAUGCAAGUUAGAUAUCUAAGCUGGAUUUUGAGGACACCCAGACAGUUUCCCACCUCUCACAAAAUUAUAUUAUUUUUACAAAAUAUUUGAAGUGAGAAGAGAUUUAGAUCCUAUACUAAGUAUUCUUGGUGAUUUUUCUGAUAACAAUAAACUACUUUCUAGAACUCUGGUCA
rnacentral:lncRNA from 1 species